AUUUUACCAUAAUUACCCAGAUAGCAAAGCGUGUCUCAGCAAAAUCAUACAAAUCUGUGAUUGCUUAUGAUGUUGGAAACUUGCCAUAGAUUUGUUUUCAACGAUUUCGAAUAUAUCG